rnacentral:rRNA from 1 species
AGAACGAACGCUGGCGGCAUGCCUAAUACAUGCAAGUCGAACGAACUCUUCGGAGUUAGUGGCGCACGGGUGCGUAACGCGUGGGAAUCUGCCCCUUGGUUCGGAAUAACAGUUGGAAACGACUGCUAAUACCGGAUGAUGACGAAAGUCCAAAGAUUUAUCGCCAAGGGAUGAGCCCGCGUAGGAUUAGCUAGUUGGUGAGGUAAAGGCUCACCAAGGCAACGAUCCUUAGCUGGUCUGGAGAGGAUGAUCAGCCACACUGGGACUGAGACACGGCCCAGACUCCGUACGGGGAGCAGCAGGUGGGAAUAGUGGACAAGUGGGACGCAAGCCUAGACUCCAGCCAGUACCGGCGGUAGGGUAGAAGGAGGU